GCUCUCCACAACAUUAAAAUGUAUUUUGAGUCAAAUUAUGAAGAAGAACAGCGAGAGGACAGAGUUAUCUGUGGCACAUUGGGGGCAGGAACUGAAAAGUUUACCAGAGGAACUGUUGGAUUCAGUUGGGAGAAAUUAUCUCACUACACGUCUCGUCUUGUCGAUGUUCUGGAUGAUGACUUCGCCACAGCCGUUCGCCGCCUGGAUCUACGGGAAAGGGGAGAGUGUGGCUCUGAGAUCUGGUAGGAGGCGAGUCAUUGGAGGAAGAUAACGGCGUGGAAGUGAGCGGAGGCAGCCAUCUGGAGAAGGAGUGAAAUAACAUUACACACACCUGAGAAAGCUGCAGCCAGGAAGCAACUUGAUCCCAGAUGUUGU